rnacentral:lncRNA from 1 species
GAGAAUUCCUCUUUGAAACCAUGUAAUUUCUGUUGUCAGUAGAAGUUUUUCUUUUAGUUACGGAAAAAACUGAAAAUUUCCCAAUAUAAAUUAAAUUUCUGUUUAUCACUUAGUAUACAAUGUAAACUUCUUCCCCCCCGCCCUGGUGUAUACUCUUCUGGAAGCUCGGGAUUCUCACGUGAAUAAACAAGCCAAAUAAAGAAAACCCAAAAUAGUAUCAACUUAAGGGGAAAGAAAUGGUAAAUUGUCUAUUAUUUACUUUCUUGGUUUCAUCCAAAUUUUGGUAUUCUAAACUUUUAAUUUUAAGGCAGGAGAAGAAGUUAGUUGAACAAGAUUUGCUUUUGCAUUUUUGUUAAAAUAAUCAUGUAUACCGUUUAUUUUAUUUUUCAAAACUAUAAUUAGUUAAGGUGGAUUAUUCAAGUUUUUAUCCGGUUCAUAUGCUUUUUCCUUCCCACAGUAAAGGAAAGAAAAUCUCUUCCAUUCUGAAGAUUUUUUGUUCUUGUUGUUUCCAAGUUUUGAAGUGUUCUAUUUUCACUACUGCAAUUCUUACAGAAAAGAGGCUCAAUAUUAGAAUGCAAGAAUGGUUGAUCUUAGUUGUUGCUGAUGUCAAUUUGUGUAGAUCUACCUCAAAAGUAACAAACAGAAUUUAUUUCAGCAUACACAAUAAUGGCUGAGGCUGCACCACCAGUUGUCCCUAGCGUUGAGUUGCUGGAAUGGCCAAAGAAGGAUAAGCACCGAUUCUUGCAUGCUGUGUAUCGAGUGGGCGACCUCGAUCGCACCAUCAAGUUCGAAUCCCCCUUAGGAGAAAUAUUACUCAUUUUGUUUGUGCUAAAUGUGAUAUCCUUAAAUUUCUUGAGUUCAAGUUACUUUUGCUUUUAUGUUUUAGGUUUUACACUGAAUGUUUUGGGAUGAAGCUAUUGAGGAAGAGGGACGUUCCAGAAGAAAAAUUUUCAAAUGCUUUUCUUGGGUUUGGUCCUGAAGAGUCUCACUUUGUAGUGGAAUUGACAUACAGUAUGUUGAGGCUUUUCAAUAAAGAUUUUUACGUUAUUAAUUGCUAUUUAACUUUCGAAGUUCUCGAUUUCGCAUGAUUGUUUGAUUCUCGGUUCAUUAUAUAUCACUUUCAUUGCGCGGUUCUGCGUUGGUACUUCAUAAAGUGCUUGUGAUAUACUCCUCAUCUCCCCUUCCUGCUCUCAAAAAUGCGCACACAGCUGCACAAAACACUAAUCCAAUUAUCAGAAUUCAUAUUUUCCCAUCCAAAUGAAGGAGGAUAUCCAAUAAAUGGAAUUCAUAAUUUAUAUUCGAGAGGAAUGGACAACACUAGAAAUGGCAAAUGUAUUGAUUAAGAGCUUGUUUGGGAAGGAUUUUUGCUAGUGAAAAAUGGUAUUUUUACAGAAUAUGUGGUUAAAAACGAAGGCAAAGUUAUGGGUCCCAUGGAAUGUGUGGUUAAAAUGAUUUUCAAAAAUUAUCUCCUGAACAAGUUCUCAACAAACUGGAAUCAAUCUAAAGAAUUAUUUCUUUAAUAUUGAUACAUCAUAAUUCUUGUUUGAUUCUCUCUGAUACUAUUCCCAGACUAUGGAGUUGAUAAAUAUGACAUUGGAACUGGAUUUGGACAUUUUGCAAUCGCAACUCAAGAUGUAAGUGUUUAUCUUGUUUGCUUUUUCUUUGUGCCGAUGAUCGAAGUGCUUAUCUAUAGGCCAUAUUAUGGUGCCUUGCAUAGUUUAGUUUGCCUGACAUUUUCUGUUUCCAUCCGUUAGGUUUAUAAACUGGUUGAAGACAUAAAGUCCAAGGGUGGAACUGUCACUCGAGAGCCAGGUCCAGUUAAAGGUGGAUCAUCUGUGAUUGCAUUUGUUAAGGAUCCUGAUGGCUACCUUUUCGAACUAAUUCAACGCGGUCCAACUCCUGAACCACUCUGUCAAGUGAUGCUUCGUGUGGGUGACCUUGAACGUUCUAUCAAAUUUUAUGAAAAGGUGAACUAUUCUUCGUUUUAAAUUCGUGUAAGUUUGGUUUAGGUUUUGAAGCUACCUCUUCAAUUGAUCUAUUUCUGGAGGUCUUAUCUCUGCUCUUCCCAUGUGCAUAAAUAAACGAAAUACCUGCUAUGUGCGUCUCCAAGAAUUAGUGCAUCUAUCAGCCAUUGUGGAUGUCAUGAUAAGACAAAAAUGUUGAAGUCUGUAGAAAAUUGGUUUUUUGAUUACCAGAAGAAUGAAUGUUAUAAGAAAGUUCCACUUUAAUCCUUCAAAAAUAAUGGUAUCAACAGUCUUCUCUUCUGUAACCUUCGACUUCCAUAUAGAUGCUGCAGUGUAAUAUUAAUGUGCAGUCUGGAGCGAUUGGUUCUCUGAAAAUAUGCUGAUAUUUAUCGCUCUUUAUUCACACAGGCAUUGGGGAUGAAACUCUUGAAGAAAACUGACAGACCAGAACAAAAGGUAUCACCAAAUGCAACCACUUUUUCUUUGGACUUCAACCUUUUAUUUUCCUUGGGAAUUUGCUAAUGCAGUGACAACAAACGUUGUUGUACUGUGCAGUACACCAUAGCAAUGAUGGGAUAUGCUGAUGAAUAUAAGACAACUGUCCUUGAGUUGACAUACAAUUAUGGUGUGACUGAAUAUACCAAAGGAAAUGCGUAUGCACAGGUUUGUUAUAUGCUUGUGAAAAUUCUUCAGUUUUUAUCAUUCAACUCUGGCCUCAUGGUGGAUGUAAUAAUAUUUCUAGGUUGCAAUCAGUACUGAGGAUGUAUAUAAAAGUGCCGAGGUUGUGAAUCUUGUAACCCAAGAGCUUGGAGGAAAGAUAACUCGGCAACCAGGACCACUUCCUGGACUGAACACUAAGAUCACUUCUUUCCUAGAUCCAGAUGGUUGGAAAACAGUAAGUUCUCACUUCUCAGGGAUUCAUACUGUACCUUGGAUUUUGACAUUAAUAUUAAUGUUACUAUUGCAUUCUCUCUUCAGAGUUUCGCUUUUCGACUGCAAUUAGUAGUAUUUGAGUACCUCUUCUCCACCCCUCGUGAGCUCGCCACCGUUUGCCCCCAUUAAUUUUUAUUACAUUUUCCUCUCACAUGUUUUCAACCACACAAUCAUACAUAAAAUAAUAUUACACGUAAGUAAAAAACUUUUCCUUUUUUAACCACUUAUUUAAAAAAAAAAACACUAUUCCACCCAUUUCAUUUCCAAAUAAAUGGGGGCCAAACAGGGGAUAUAAGAUUAUGUGCUUCAUUUUUUGUAGGCUAUAUAUGAAAUGAGACAAUUUAUCCAUACUGGUUGCACUGUGACUUGUUCUGAACAUUGGUUAGCCCAUAGUGAUAGCUUCAUCUUGAUGUAAGCUCGUUUCACCGUUUCUGUUGUAUUUAGGUUCUGGUCGAUCACGCAGAUUUUCUGAAGGAAUUGGAGAUCAAAGAGUAAUGAGCACGGUUGUGAUUAAGGGACUGGAUUUCAAAUCUGGGGUUAAUAGUUUAGCUAUGGUAAAUAAAUAACCCCGGACGAGUAGUAUUUGCCAGUAUUGAGUUUUAAUCCAAGUCAGAAUGCAGUGUUAACCAUGUUUUGAGUACACAGCGAGCUUUUCUCUGAUGUAUUUUACUGCAUUAUCUUAUGAGUACUUUUCAAACUUUUCUCUGAGAUCUAAUCCAGUCAGAAUGAACUGUGUUUAUGUUUAUAUUUCAAGAUUUUUCAUGGCAAAGAAUAACCGUAAAAAAUUCCACAAUACAAAGGCGUUCUUGAGGAAUUCAUUACGCAAAUUAAAUCUUUUCACACGUUUAGAAAAUGUAUGGUAGAUAAAUAAAAUUCUGCGAUCAUAGAUGCAAGUUUUUGGGAAUAUUGGUCUACAUUUGUAUACAAGUUAAUAAGGCCUCCUAAAGAUACAUGAAACAGAAGAUAACACCCUGUUGUUGGAGAAAGAUGU